AACGAACGCUGGCGGCAUGCCUAACACAUGCAAGUCGAACGAGACCUUCGGGUCUAGUGGCGCACGGGUGCGUAACGCGUGGGAACCUGCCCUUAGGUUCGGAAUAACUCCCCGACAGGGGUGCUAAUACCGGAUAAUGUCUUCGGACCAAGGAUUUAUCGCCUUUGGAGGGGCCCGCGUUGGAUUCGCUAGUUGGUAGGGUAAAAGCCUACCAAGGCGACGAUCCAUAGCUGGUCUGAGAGGAUGAUCAGCCACACUGGGACUGAGACACGGCCCAGACUCCUACGGGAGGCAGCAGUGGGGAAUAUUGGACAAUGGGCGAAAGCCUGAUGCAGCAAGGCCGCGUGAGUGAUGAAGGCCUUAGGGUUGUAAAGCUCUUUUACCCGGGAUGAUAAUGACAGUACCGGGAGAAUAAGCUCCGACUAACUCCGUG
rnacentral:rRNA from 1 species